rfam:Amborella trichopoda AMTR_V1.0_contig_43307, whole genome shotgun sequence.
CUGAGCCGUAUGAGGUAGGAAACUCUCAAGUACGGUUCUAAGGGAACGAAUUGAUCCACCUAUCCUGAC